rnacentral:rRNA from 1 species
GAAACCCGGUGAUCUAGCCAUGGGCAGGUUGAAGGUUGGGUAACACUAACUGGAGGACCGAACCGACUAAUGUUGAAAAAUUAGCGGAUGACUUGUGGCUGGGGGUGAAAGGCCAAUCAAACCGGGAGAUAGCUGGUUCUCCCCGAAAGCUAUUUAGGUAGCGCCUCGUGAAUUCAUCUCCGGGGGUAGAGCACUGUUUCGGCAAGGGGGUCAUCCCGACUUACCAACCCGAUGCAAACUGCGAAUACCGGAGAAUGUUAUCACGGGAGACACACGGCGGGUGCUAACGUCCGUCGUGAAGAGGGAAACAACCCAGACCGCCAGCUAAGGUCCCAAAGUCAUGGUUAAGUGGGAAACGAUGUGGGAAGGCCCAGACAGCCAGGAUGUUGGCUUAGAAGCAGCCAUCAUUUAAAGAAAGCGUAAUAGCUCACUGGUCGAGUCGGCCUGCGCGGAAGAUGUAACGGGGCUAAACCAUGCACCGAAGCUGCGGCAGCGACACUAUGUGUUGUUGGGUAGGGGAGCGUUCUGUAAGCCUGUGAAGGUGGCCUGUGAGGGUUGCUGGAGGUAUCAGAAGUGCGAAUGCUGACAUAAGUAACGAUAAAGCGGGUGAAAAGCCCGCUCGCCGGAAGACCAAGGGUUCCUGUCCAACGUUAAUCGGGGCAGGGUGAGUCGACCCCUAAGGCGAGGCCGAAAGGCGUAGUCGAUGGGAAACAGGUUAAUAUUCCUGUACUUGGUGUUACUGCGAAGGGGGGACGGAGAAGGCUAUGUUGGCCGGGCGACGGUUGUCCCGGUUUAAGCGUGUAGGCUGGUUUUCCAGGCAAAUCCGGAAAACCAAGGCUGAGGCGUGAUGACGAGGCACUACGGUGCUGAAGCGACAAAUGCCCUGCUUCCAGGAAAAGCCUCUAAGCAUCAGGUAACAUCAAAUCGUACCCCAAACCGACACAGGUGGUCAGGUAGAGAAUACCAAGGCGCUUGAGAGAACUCGGGUGAAGGAACUAGGCAAAAUGGUGCCGUAACUUCGGGAGAAGGCACGCUGAUAUGU